AUGACCGCCCUGCUUUUGGUAUGGUUGCUGGAUGGUCUACCCAUGGUGGGCUGGCUUGUUACGAGUGUGGGGGCAGAUCCACAAACAAUUUGGCUGGAUAAUGGGCACAAAUGGAGUUGGUUUGACAGCCACAGGCGAUUUCUAUCGGCCGACCAUGUAUUUAGGACCCAGCCUGAUGCCUUUUUAAAAGAUACCGUAGUGAAGGAUAUUGCUCCACGUAGGUUAACAGGGGAUGAAGUUUUUGCUUACAUGUAUGAAGUUAAGGACAACAAUUUUGAAGGUUAUGGAGUAACACACAAUUGGACACACAUUCCUAAGCUGUGGGAAUUGUAA
rnacentral:rRNA from 1 species